rnacentral:lncRNA from 1 species
GGGCUGCGCCGGCCGCGGGAGGUGGGUGCUUCUCGGCGGCGAGCUGCGACUCGGAGAGACUCCUGUCCGCAGGUGCAUGGCUUCCGGGCGGGCCUCGGGCAGCGAGCUCCAGCCCCACUGAGAGGCCGCGGACCGCCUGGGGACUUGUGUUUGUGUGUAUUUUAAGCCAACAGCCCAGAAAGGGAAGGCGACUGGCCCCCGGUCUUCGCCAGUGUUUCCCGGCCGGGUUACUGGUGGUCAGGAGGGAAGCCAGGAGGCUGCCGGGCUCCGAGGCCGAUUCCUUGCGAACCAUCUCCGUUAAAGACUCCGCGCCGGGCAGCCCGGGAGUCCGGCGGUACCCGCGCAAACUUUGUCCCAGCGCCUUGGCUCACCGUGAAUGCCCUGCCUUGAAAAUUUGGAGUUUUUUGUUUCCUGAAAGUGGUCUGCUUUUCCGAUUUUAUCUGUGUUUUCCAUUUUUACCUUCUUAUUGUCAAUUUGUUUUCAGGCAUUAUUAAUUCAACAAAUCUUUGUACUGCCCCUUACCACGUGUCGAUGGUUCCGUGGUUUGGUGGAAAUAGAUCGCGCUUUGAAGUCAAGACGGAUCGGCCAUGGAAUUUUGGCUCUGAGAUCCUCUGUGUAACCGUGGAUGAGCUACAAGGCCUGCUGAGCCUCCAUUUGUCUGGUUUUUGUGGUUGUUUUAAUUUAUCUUUUUCCAUUUGAAGUUGUGGGUUUUGCAUAAAAUUGAACUGUUACCAGGCUAAGUCAACUGAAAUUGGAAUCUGGGGUACUGCUUGCUUUGAGGUUACUCUUAUACUGUCCACCAUUUGCUGGCUGUGUGAUCUCUAAACCUCUCUGUGCCCUGACUUUUCUAUCUUUAAAAUGGACGUAACAACAGAGGUUUAAUAAUAAGAGGUUUGGAGGUUAAGUGCUAAAAUGCAUAUAAAAUACCUAGCACAGGACACAGUAAAAA